CUAGGCUUGACAUGUUGGAGAACGCCGUGGAAACACGGAACUCUUUGGACACUCCAUCACAGGUGGUGCAUGGCUGUCGUCAGCUCGUGUCGUGAGAUGUUGGGUUAAGUCCCGCAACGAGCGCAACCCUUGUCAUUAGUUGCUACGAAAGGGCACUCUAAUGAGACUGCCGGUGACAAACCGGAGGAAGGUGGGGAUGACGUCAAGUCCUCAUGGCCCUUAUGGGUAGGGCUUCACACGUCAUACAAUGGUCGGUACAGAGGGUUGCCAAGCCGCGAGGUGGAGCCAAUCCCAGAAAACCGAUCGUAGUCCGGAUCGCAGUCUGCAACUCGACUGCGUGAAGUCGGAAUCGCUAGUAAUCGCGGAUCAGAAUGCCGCGGUGAAUACGUUCCC
rnacentral:rRNA from 1 species